GCCCGCUCAGAAACUUAAAGGAAGUUGACGGGGCCCGCACAAGCGGUGGAGUAUGUGGUUUAAUUCGAUGCAACGCGAAGAACCUUACCUGGUCUUGACAUCCCGGAGACCCUUAGGAAACUAGGGGGUGCUUCCAUCUGGAAGAAUCUGGAGACAGGUGCUGCAUGGCUGUCGUCAGCUCGUGUCGUGAGAUGUUGGGUUAAGUCCCGCAACGAGCGCAACCCUUGCCUUUAGUUGCCAGCAGUUCGGCUGGGCACUCUAAAGGGACUGCCGGUGUUAAACCGGAGGAAGGUGGGGAUGACGUCAAGUCCUCAUGGCCUUUAUGACCAGGGCUACACACGUACUACAAUGGCCGAUACAAAGGGCAGCGACACUGCGAGGUGAAGCCAAUCCCGUAAAAUCGGUCUCAGUCCGGAUUGGAGUCUGCAACUCGACUGCGUGAAGUCGGAAUCGCUAGUAAUCGUGAAUCAGAAUGUCACGGUGAAUACGUUCCCGGGCCUU
rnacentral:rRNA from 1 species